UACGAAGGGGGCUAGCGUUGUUCGGAAUCACUGGGCGUAAAGCGCACGUAGGCGGGUCGUUAAGUCGGGGGUGAAAUGCCAAGGCUCAACCUUGGAACUGCCUUCGAUACUGGCGAUCUCGAGUCCGGGAGAGGUGAGUGGAACUCCGAGUGUAGAGGUGAAAUUCGUAGAUAUUCGGAAGAACACCAGUGGCGAAGGCGGCUCACUGGCCCGGUACUGACGCUGAGGUGCGAAAGCGUGGGGAGCAAACAGG
rnacentral:rRNA from 1 species